GGAUAUGGUGUAGCGGUAACACACAGGACUUUGACUCCUGCAUCGUAGGUUCGAACCCUGCUAUC
rnacentral:tRNA from 1 species